CCAUCACCAUCUCCUCUACAACCGCGACAGCCCAAAAUAGAAAUGGCUCUCAUAGUUGUUCGCAAGGAGAGGAAGGGGGCGCACCCCUUCCCAAAUGUACAGCUGGGUCUAGGGAAGAGAUUUAAAGGCCUAGAGCGACACCACUCCGCUCUCAGAGACUCACGCCCAAUUUCAAAGCCAAAGUUCCGGUCUGCAUCUCUUCCUCCUUUCCGCCCGUAACUUUCUGGGCAGCCUGGCGGAGAAGAGCUUCUUCCGCUUCCCCUUUCGGCUUGAGGCUACGGUAGGAGUGCUGGCAGCAUGGUGGCAACUAUGAAGGAAUACACUUGAUGAAAUUGAAGCCAGAUUAUGUUUGGGAACUGAACCAUGCCACAAACUUGAAUGUUGCACAACCUGUAACUCAUCAGCCAUGUAUAGCAGUUAACCAAAGAUUGAAAUGUUUUUUUGCUGUCACACAGUAAGGUUUCCAAGUAACUAAUCGGAACAACACGGUGCUGCUAAGCUGUGUAUGGUGAUUACUUGUUGAACAAGCCUGAUUUAAUGUAUAUCUUGUAUUAUGUCUGGGGAACAUGGAGGGACAAUAAACUGAAGCUUUGAGAUUUUCA